ensembl:lncRNA
AGAUUGGACAUUAUAUGUCUGAGUUAUAGCAACUUCCUUUUUCAUGGCGAAACAUCGAAAUUCGUCAGGCCGCCACGGACACGCCCUUCAACGAAAACUCAAGAUCUUCGCAAUUUAACAUCGCAAAGGCCUUUAGAUUAGGCAUACCAAAUUUGGUGUUGAUCUGAAUUAAUCUCUAGGAGGAGUUCGUUGAAAUACAAGGCAUGCAAAUGACAAAAAUGAUGCAAAAUUUGCUCAUAAAAUUAAAAAUAACCGACUUCCUGUUGGGUUUCGGAUAUUGCUCCAAGAGUCUUUUUUGUAGGUACUGAUGCUUUACAUAUGUGUGCCAAUUUUCGUGCAUGUACGUGAAACACAGCUCGAGGGCUGUUGAUUUUUUUACGAUAGGUGGCGCUGUCGAGCCAUUUUGCCACACCCUCUUCUGAAACCUAUAUCAGACGUAAAUUUUCACCAGGUCUGACGCGUGUGCAAAGUUUCAGGACUUUUCGAGCAUGUUUAGGCCCUCAAAAAUGCGAUUCAUUUUGGAGAAGAAGAAGAAGAAGAAGAAGAAGAAGAAGAAGAAGAAGAAGAAUAAACGAAGCAGAUACAAGAGGGUCCUCACACCAUCGGUGCUCGGGCCCUAAUAAU